rnacentral:rRNA from 1 species
CCAGACUCCUACGGGAGGCAGCAGUGGGGAAUAUUGCACAAUGGGCGAAAGCCUGAUGCAGCGACGCCGCGUGAGCGAUGAAGGCCUUCGGGUCGUAAAGCUCUGUCCUAAGGGAAGAAUAAUGACGGUACCUUAGGAGGAAGCCCCGGCUAACUACGUGCCAGCAGCCGCGGUAAUACGUAGGGGGCGAGCGUUGUCCGGAUUUACUGGGCGUAAAGGGUGCGUAGGCGGCCUAGCAAGUCAGAAGUUAAAGCCCUCGGCUCAACCGAGGUAAGCUUUUGAAACUGUUAGGCUUGAGUACAGGAGAGGAGAGUGGAAUUCCUAGUGUAGCGGUGAAAUGCGUAGAUAUUAGGAAGAACACCAGUGGCGAAGGCGAUUCUCUGGACUGUAACUGACGCUGAGGCACGAAAGCGUGGGGAGCGAACAGGAUUAGAUACCCUGGUAGUCCACGCCGUAAACGAUGAGUACUAGGUGUUGGGGUCGACAGGCUUCAGUGCCGCAGUUAACACAUUAAGUACUCCGCCUGGGGAGUACGGUCGCAAGACUGAAACUCAAAGGAAUUGACGGGGGCCCGCACAAGCAGCGGAGCAUGUGGUUUAAUUCGACGCAACGCGAAGAACCUUACCAGGGCUUGACAUCCCUCGGACCGUUCUAGAGAUAGAACUUUCCCUUCGGGGACUGAGGUGACAGGUGGUGCAUGGUUGUCGUCAGCUCGUGUCGUGAGAUGUUGGGUUAAGUCCCGCAACGAGCGCAACCCUUAUUUUUAGUUGCCAUCAGGUAAUGCUGGGCACUCUAGAGAGACUGCCGGUGACAAACCGGAGGAAGGUGGGGAUGACGUCAAAUCAUCAUGCCCCUUAUGUCCUGGGCUACACACGUGCUACAAUGGUCG